UUGUGUUUGUCAUAUGCGUCUCUAAGUCUGAAUUAAUUCCUUUGCUUUCGAUUAGGCUUUUUGAAUAUAUCAUAUGUCUGAUUGAUCCUUAUUUUUACUGGUACGUUGCUUUAGUUCUUCCAUUUGUGCCAAUUCAUAUUCUCAUAUAAUGAAUCCAGAAAUGAAGAACAAAUAGAACAGAUAGCGGAGAGUCAGGUAGAAGAAGACAAGAAACUAAAUUAGUUAAGAUACAAAAUUUCCCUUCUUGUGUUAGAAGCACAAUUGCAAAUGAUACAUAGAACCCAAACCAGUGGAAUCACUCAUGUUCUCUAUAAUUUCAUUUAUGUUCUACACCUAAUUCAGAAAAACCAGAAAUAAAUCCUUCUACAUUCAGCCAGCUUCGUCAUUUAUCCUCACCAUCUUCAAUCAUUCUUCUGUUUAAUUUUUCACAACCAAACACUACAAUCAGAAAAAUCCAAUUGAAGAGGAUGUAGAAGAAUGUGUGGAGAAAGAGGAGCAAUGGCAUACUAGUAAUAUUUCUGGCCAACGUCGCACCUGAUAGUUGCGCCGGUGGUGGCAUCGCGGCUUCGAUUGAAGGGAGACCGGUGAAGUUCGCGAUGCUGGUGGCUCGCCGGUGGUAGUCUUGAUUAGGCUUAGGGUGCAUAGCACCGAGCGACGACUAUGCCUCCUAUCGACCUCCCGUAUGGAAGUCGUUCAACGAUACAAGGGCAGAGUCGUCACUAGCAAUGCCACCGGUGAGUUGGUUGAGCGAGGGAAGCCAAGGCUGGCGGUGACUGGCGUUCUGCAGAAGAGGAUAAAGAAGUGGAGAGUGAAUCCACGCGGUAACGCUGACACCGGUGAUGUCAUUGCUACCGGCGGUGGCUUUUGCACAACAGCGACGUGGCCCUGACGGCGACGGCACAUCCAUGCGAUAGGUUGAUUUGGAUGAAGGCUAGGGCUGGUGCGUUCUGCAGAAAUGUGGAAGAUGAAGCAUCUAGUCCAAAUGGCACCAAGAUGGAAAGGAAAAGAUGCAAAAGCUAAAAAGGACGCAGAAGCAGAGGCGCUCGAGGAACCCAUGUCAAAGAUUGUAUCUGAACUCAAGUCUUCUCUAGUUCAAUCAGAUACUUGUGGAUUUCUCUCUGAUAACAGUGUACAGUUAGCAGUGGGAGCAGAGCAACUUGAUCUGCUUGAUAAAGCAUGCUUUGGUCGACCUGUGAGAACAAUUGAAAAGGACAAACACUGGUUUCAAUUAAGUUUCGAGGAGGCAUUCUACCUAUGCUAUUCCUUGAAAUGCCUUAAGAUUAAUGGCAGUGGUACUGGUCCCCAUAAUGAUGAAGAACUGUGGCAUUACAUGAAGUCGAAGAAAGAUACAUUCCCUUGUUUCUACAAGGCUUAUUCCCACCUUCGAAUGAAAAACUGGGUUGUGAGGUCAGGAUCUCAGUACGGUGUAGACUUUGUUAUCUAUCGCCACCAUCCAUCUCGGGUCCAUUCUGAGUAUGGUGUGCUUGUUUUAUCAGAUGGGGAAGAUAAAGAUCUGAAUGGAAGACUGAGAGUAUGGUCUGAUGUUCAUUGCACAACUCGACUUGUUGGAAGUGUUGCAAAAAUCUUAUUGGUUCUACAUGUCAAUAAAGUUGGUAACAACGAGUCUCCAUUAUGUCUUGCAAACUAUACCGUUGAAGAGUGCACAAUCACCAGAUGGAGUCCAGAGCAGAACCGUGAAAAGAUGUAGAUCAUGCUAGCACUGAUAACAGAAACGAGUAAUACUGGACACACAUGUUUUCAACGCAAGUCUUGCAAACUUUUCACGUCAUAUUUAGAGCUGAACACAGAACAUAAGCUACUCUGAGUAGCUUAGACUGAAGUGGAUUUUAAUGUUGGCAAAUGUUUUUCUCAGCAUGUAAAAUACUGUCAAAUAUGAUGGAGUCCUCAAGAUGCGGGUAUGCAGAACCUAAUCCUCGUCUGGCUUGAAUCUAAUGUUGAGGCAGACUCUGAACGUCUUGUGAGUGCUCGAGUUAAUGGAACUUGGUAGAGAAAGAGCUUAAGUCCAUUAAGGGAAGCUAGUUGGUUUGUUUUUCAUUUGUGAGAUUGGCCGAUUCUUUCGCGGUUCAUUGUUUGUUCCAAUUUUGGGUUUUAUUGUUUGCUCGAAACCCAUUCUUCACUUCGUCUAUUUUCUAUUCAUCUUCCACUUAUCUACUAUACACGAAACGCGAAGUCCACGACGAAGAACGCGAGAGUGAGAACAACACAAGCAUCCGCGACGAGCUAACUAACGACGACGACGGUCACCCGUGGGCCACCGCGGUCCGAGAGCCAGCGGUGAAGCUAACUAGGUGGCGACGAUCACCCUCGGCGGCGUCGCACUCCCACGGCAGCGACGUAACAGGUGCGCUCCCUUCCCUUCCCAAUUUAUGCUGUGUGUGUGUGGUGCGUUCCCUUUCCAAUUGAUAUUAUUUCAUUUCCUUUCUUUUGUUUUGUUUGAUUAUAUGUGUGUAUUUUCAGCUUCCCUUCGAAAUAUAUGAUUUUAGUUUGAACUGCAGUGUAUCCUCAUUCUAUUCCAGGUUGAACAGUAAUGAACCAAAAUUUUAACAAGUUUAUGGCAGAUUUGUGUGUAACGGAUAUGAAUAGAAUACUUGAAAUGUAUACUGGAUUUGAGGUAAUAUCGAAAUUGGUUGAUGUAGGAGGUGGAAAUGGACAAAACCUCAAAAUGAUAAUCUCCAAAUGCCCUUCAAUUAAAGGACUUAAUUUUAUCUCCCAAAGUGAUUGAGAAUGCCUGAUAUAUUUAAUGUUUUAUCAUAUAUAUAUAUAUAUCAAAGGGUUAGUAUAAUGAUAUAAGUUC